rnacentral:rRNA from 1 species
GUGCCAGCAGCCGCGGUAAAACGUAGGAGGCGAGCGUUAUCCGGAUUUACCGGGUGUAAAGCGCGUGCAGGCGGAUCGGAAAGUUGGAUGUGAAAGCUCCCGGCUUAACUGGGAGAGGUCGUUCAAAACUACCGGUCUUGAGUACAGUAGAGGGAAGUGGAAUUCCGGGUGUAGUGGUGAAAUGCGUAGAUAUCCGGAGGAAAACCAGUGGCGAAAGCGAAUUUCUGGACUGAAACUGACGCUGAGGUGCGAAA